CCUACGUGAGGCAGCAGUGAGGAAUAUUGGUCAAUGGGCGCGAGCCUGAACCAGCCAAGUAGCGUGAAGGAUGACUGCCCUACGGGUUGUAAACUUCUUUUAUAAAGGAAUAAAGUGAGGCACGUGUGCCUUUUUGUAUGUACUUUAUGAAUAAGGAUCGGCUAACUCCGUGCCAGCAGCCGCGGUAAUACGGAGGAUCCGAGCGUUUUCCGGAUUUAUUGGGUUUAAUGGGAGCGUAGAUGGGUUGUUAAGUCAGUUGUGAAAGUUUGCGGCUCAACCGUAAAAUUGCAAUGGAUACUGGCAGUCUUGAGUACAGUUGAGGCAGGCGGAAUUCGUGGUGUAGCGGUGAAAUGCUGAGAUAUCACGAAGAACUCCGAUUGCGAAGGCAGCUUACUAAACUGCCACUGACAUUGAUGCGCGAAAGUGUGGGUAUCAAACAGGAUUAGAUACCCUUGUAGUC
rnacentral:rRNA from 1 species